AGGAGAUUCCACUGCUGUAGUCUGGAGCCCAACAGCUCUGCCUUACUCUUGGAUAGUUCCAAAUCCCUGACAAGGUCAUUCAGUUCACCUUGUGUUAUGAGGUGUGGUUCAGAGGAGGAAGAUGGGAGAAAAUGUGGGUCCUGUGACACUGAUGGUUCAGGACCAGAAGUUUCAUCCUCUUCCUCUUCCUCGUCUGAUUCAAGAGAGAAUGAUUCUAACAGCAGAAAAGAGUUCUGUGG